UAGGGAAUAUUGCACAAUGGAGGAAACUCUGAUGCAGCGACGCCGCGUGAGUGAUGAAGGCCUUCGGGUCGUAAAGCUCUGUCGCAGGGGAAUAACACAAUGAAGGUACCCUGCAAGAAAGGAUCGGCUAACUUCGUGCCAGCAGCCGCGGUAAGACGAGGGAUCCUAGCGUUGUUCGGAAUUAUUGGGCGUAAAGCGGGUGUAGGUGGCUAUGCAAGUCAGACGUGAAAGCCCAGGGCUCAACCCUGGAAGUGCGUUUGAAACUGCGUAGCUUGAGUGCCGGAUAGGUUACUAGAAUUCUUGGUGUAGUGGUGAAAUACGUAGAUAUCAAGAGGAAUACCAGAGGCGAAGGCGGGUAACUGGCCGGACACUGACACUCAGACCCGAAAGUGCGGGGAUCAAACAG
rnacentral:rRNA from 1 species